CAAGGGGGUUAUUUGCUAAUAAUUUGAUAGAUAGGCAUAUAAUCGUACAAAUGCAUAUAGAGGUUUCCUGCUAAAUCAUUAAUGUGUUUUUGUGCGUAUAAACCCAUGCAACAAGGUGACUGGUGGAUGCAGCCUGUUAACAGCACAGAGAGAAACUACAGAGACCGAGAUGUGAACAGAUAGCAAGAACUAGUUCUAGAAGUGAACUACGACGUUUGAUGAAACAGAAGCAACUGAAGAAAGCAGGACUUUGACUGUGCUCCCAAGGCGAUCCUGUGGCUUUUGGGGGAGAUUUUACCAUACAAGGAGAAGAGGAGUUUAGCUUGGCUUCCUGUGGGAGGGUUCUGAUUUCUCUCACUCUGCAUCCGAUCCACUGCGUCUCUAUUUCUCUGUGUUCUCCUCCCCUGGUUUGGCUCCAAACCUGCUGCUCACUAUACAACCCAAGAAGAAUUCUAGUAAAAGAAAACAUUACCUGAACACCUCUAACAUUAUUAUAUGUUACAAAAUCAGAUCAUUCUGUUGUCAUGACAUUGUGUGCAGACAACUAACACACCGAGUAGGACACACGGGCCUUUGUUGUGCUGUAAGCUUAUGUUGAACCCACGAUUGUAGAGUUAUUCACUUUCACCGUUUCAUAGAGUUCCAUAACCUUAAAAAAGGGUAAAAGAUUACAGCAAUCUCGGUCUGAACCACAGAUCACAUAUUUUUGCAUCAAUGUAUCUGCUGGCAUUCAAUUAGGCAGAUUUCAGUUAAACACUAU
ensembl:lncRNA